rnacentral:rRNA from 1 species
UACGGGAGGCAGCAGUGGGGAAUAUUGCACAAUGGGCGAAAGCCUGAUGCAGCUAUGCCGCGUGUAUGAAGAAGGCCUUAGGGUUGUAAAGUACUUUCAUCGGGGAGGAAAAACAAAACUAAUAAUUUUAUUUCUUGACGUUACCCGAAAAAGAAAGCACCGGCUAACUCCGUGCCAGCAGCCGCGGUAAUACGGAGGGUGCUAGCGUUAAUCAGAAUUACUGGGCGUAAAGGGCACGUAGGUGGUUUUUUUAAGUCAGAUGUGAAAUCCCUGGGCUUAACCUGGAACUGCAUUUUGAAACUGAAAUACUAGAGUAUCGUAGAGGGAGGUAGAAUUCUAGGUGUAGCGGUGAAAUGCGUAGAUAUCUGGAGGAAUACCUGUGGCGAAAGCGGCCUCCUAAACGAAUACUGACACUGAGGUGCGAAAGCGUGGGGAGCAAACAGGGAUUAGAUACC